UACGUAGGGGGCGAGCGUUGUCCGGAGUUACUGGGCGUAAAGCGCACGCAGGCGGUCUGCUAAGUUUGGAGUGACAGUUGGUGGCUUAACUGCCAAAGUGCUUCGAAAACUGACAGACUUGAGGGCUUCAGAGGGACACGGAAUUCCGGGUUGGAGUGGUGAAAUGCGUAGAGAUCCGGAGGAACACCAAAGGCGAAGGCAGUGUCCUGGGGAGUACCUGGACGCUCAGGUGACGAAAGCCAGGGGAGCGAACGGGG
rnacentral:rRNA from 1 species